CAUGCUUUCCGCUCUGAACUCUCCUCGUGGAGGUGACUGCAGCCAGGCGUGCUUGAUCUGGCGUGGUAAAUCGGGGCGCACGUAACAUCGCUGGUACAGCGACGGCUGUGAUGCUGGCAGACGGGUCGCUCCGCUCAGCGUGCCGUGGGUGCAUCCGUGUUGGCGGGCAUAACUGCCGCGGUUGUUGGUGAGUCUCCUCCGCCUGCUUGCUGUCACGCUGCACCACGGCUAAUCGGGUUCGGCGAGCUUCGGCGGCAGUCCAAUCCCUGGUGGUGGUUUCACGAGUCCCCUUUUUCGUUGGUGUGUCGUGUCACAGGUGUGGGAUUAUUUUUGGACCCCUUUUCUCUUUGAUUUUCUGAUUUUUGCCUGCCGCCAUGGUUAUGGAGUGAUUGCCACUAAAAACAUUGAGCAAGGAGAAUACUUGCUUGAGUGUGUUGGAAGACACAUCACUGGAUCUGAAGGAGAGGCACUGUGCAAAGAGUCCCCAGCUGACGAUGCAGCAUUUCUGUACUUCUAUUGCUUUCAAGGACAAUCUUUCUGUGUUGAUGGCAGUAAACACACAGCAAGAUUUGUAAGAUUCAUAAAUGAUGAGCACAUCAAGCCAAACAGCAAAAUUAAAAUAAUAAUGGAUGAGCAGAAAAGGCCACAUCUGUGUACAUUUUCAAAGUCAAUCAUCAGUGCAGGAGAAGAAAUUUUGUAUGACUGCAGAGACCCUGACUGCCUAUGGAGACAGGUAUUUCUAUUUCUAUAUUUUUGCCAUUCCAUCAUUUAACUGAGCAACAAGGAUGUCUCUAAUCCUCACCAAAAUUGUUCUUCAAAUUUAUGAAAAACAUUGUCAGUGACAUAGUAAAACACAUUUUCGAUUACUGACAUCACUCUGUUGAUGUAAUUUGUUUCAUCAAAGCCCAUAUGGUUUUUUUUUUUUUUGUUUGUUUUUUUUUUGCAUGCUGUACAAAAUUUGAAACGAUGAGAAUGCCCAAUGGCUGUUUUUCUGUAUUUUCAAGGAAUCACGUGGGAAGACUUCAUGAGAAAACCUUGACUCAUGAACACAGGCAUCAAGGCCUUUCAUGAUGAAAAUUGACCUUGUUAUUUAACACUGAACACAAAGAUUGCAAAUGGAUGCAAUGCUGCUGAAAUUUUCCCAGGACUCUUUCGUGACUGCAAAGUUGCAGUGAAACGAGUUGCCAAGUAUAUUUCUAAAAAUGAGAUGAAAAUGGCACAUGUCCUACGUUAAGAAAAUUUAAAAGCAGAGCAUCUUUUACAAUCAAAUGCAGUGUUUGUCUCCCUUCUCUGUGAAUACAGUCUGGCAGAGGUAACUGAAAAUAAGGACUUUCCUGAGAGAGAAAGUCUGACUGAGGGUCAAAGACUGGAGACAAUCUGCAAGGAGAUACUGCAAGGACAACAGGAACUCCAUUCAUACGGGAUUUUGCACGAAUGACAUUUUGUUUGGUAAAAUAAAUACAUAGUUUAGCCAUAGCCAUAACUAUCUGGUAGUAUGUCUUUAUUAUCAUAUUUUUCAUUAUACGUGUUAUUAAUAUCACGUACAAUGAUAGAUAUUACUGUCAUGUAUAAUAACAUCAUCUUUACAGAUGAUGUUAUUUUGUGGAUAUUGUUUUAAGUGCUACAUGUCUAAGGAUCAUUUUCAGUAUUCUACAGAUAUCAGCAACAAACUGUAUAUUGCAGAUUAUGGAGCAAGCAGGAAACUGGAUUUGACACAGUCAACAUUGUUGUCUCAAAUGGCUGGAGCUUUUUCUUGGUCAAGUUAUGAGGAUGUUGGAGGCAUACAAUACAAGAAAGAGUCAGAUAUCCAAGUAAGUUCAGGAUGGAAAUGUCACUUCAAUGGGCAUGAUGACUGUUAUGAGUUUAGAUUUCUUUAGAAUAUGUGAAAUGUGGAGCUGAAAAUGCAUAAACUAGUUCUGCUGUAUGGUGAUGUUCUCACAUGUCAGUAUUCAAAUCAGUUUACAUGAACUGUAUUUUGUAAGUAUUAUUAUAGUCAUUGUAAUAUUCAAAUUUUUAAAAAAUAUUAAAAAAAAAAAAAAUACAAUCUAUGUAGUUUAGAAGGGUGACUAUUACUGGACAUUGUUUCAAAUGAAUCUCCUGUAUUUCAGAUAGCAAGGUGCCUGGUGCAUUACAUACUGACAGAUGGCCAACACCCCUAUCAAACAACUACACCCUAUUACAAGGUUCCAUUCGGGCUAUCUCAAAAUGUCAAACAGGGUAACUUCGCUCUAGAAAGGCAUCAAGGUAUCACUGGCAAAUGCUAUGUAAAUCGACAGAAGCACGCCCUACCAUUGAAGAAUGCCUUCAAGCCACAAGAAUGUGCCAAGAUAGACACUUCUAACUUCUUCACUUCAUACACUAAACGUAUCAUAAAAAUAAUAUAUGUAUGCACUGUAGUUAUUAUUGCAAGAUUGUAUGUCUAGGGUGAAUGUCAUCCUUAAUUGAUUGAAAAUGGUAAAUGUCUGUUAUGUGUUCACAGGUUUCACACACCAAGCUGAUCACAAGGGAGCCAAAAACAACAACAGUAAUAACUAUGGAAAUAAAGGAAAUAAAUAAAGUUCAUAAAGUUUAUAAACAUAAUAAAGUUUAUAACAUAAUUUGAUACGUACAUUUAUGCACUGUUAUAUUAUUUUUACAGGACCGAACCCAUGUAGCCAAUUGCUCGCCUCAAACAUCAGAUGAGAUUGACAUUCAACACAGUGCUGACAGUGAUCAGCCAGGGAGUGUUUGUGAUGUGGUGAUGGAUUCAUCUUUUCACACUGAAGAUGAUAUAUCUGUCACUCAAAUGCUAAUUAUGGACUAAUUUUUUUGGCCUGGGCUAGUAAAUAAUAGUUAUAACUAUGUGCUAAAACUAUAAUAAAAAUGUUGUGAGAGAAUUUUUAGCACUCUUUUUUCUGUAUUUCAGGAAAUGGAACCAUAGGUUUCCCUUACCCGGAAACAGAAGAUAUUCAAUCUAAAGAUAAGGUUGCCUCCACACAGAUGAGGAUGUGGGUUCAGGAAACUUGGACACAGAGGAUUCUGAAGAAAGGGCUACUCUUUCAAGAGUUGAAGUUGAAAUUGAAGACCCCAAGAAAUUGCCAUUCAAUCCAAAAAGUAUAGUUACAGUACAAGAAUAUUACCUACAUGG